rnacentral:lncRNA from 1 species
CGAUGUGAUUAGACAUGAGAUAGGUAAAUGGAUUGAGCUAAUCCGCAUAAUUGGUUAACUUUUUGGAUAGAACCUCGAUUCCUAGCUUUGAUUGGGUAACGUGAGAUUGUUUUAAUUGAUUGAUAUUAACUAAAUUUUCUUUUUAUUGGUAAAGCGUUAAAAUGUGAAGUGAAUUUUAAUUUUUGUAAUGAAUUGUUGCGACUUUGCAGUAUUUGGUGUUGAUUUCUGUAAUGGGAAGUUAAUAGAUAAUAUACACGAUUAUGAAAAUUCAUCAUUUUAGUACCUAAUUUGCUGAAUUCAGUUUAAGAAGCAAGAACAAAGAAAGAAUACUGUUUUCAUUAAGAUCUAUUGCAACCUUGUAAUAAUUUACUUACUUCGCUUUUGUCUCUAAAUUAGGCACAACCUCAUUGUGCACACACCUGUGUUGGGGAAUUCAUUAUUCGAAGCUUUUUCUUAGAUUGAAAUUGUUCGGGUUCAAGCAUUCUUUCAGCAAGUUCUAAUCUUCAAGUUACAAUGUCAAUUAACAUCAGUUUUAGCUGUCCUUAUACAGUUAUUUAUCCCUACACUUAGAUUUGAAGCGUAUGAACAUGGGCCUUAAGAACAUCAAUGGAAGGUGGUGGGGUGGGAGGAUUAAGAUACAUGCACCUACCACUAUCACUAGCUCUACUUGUGAUAUCAGACCCUCAUGGAGUAUUGUCUCUCUCUGAUUUUAAUUCCGUCUUUUCCUUCUUAAAGUUACAAUACACUGCUGCUCUUCUAGCAGUGUAAAUUCUCAUCACCCCUACUUUGUGUAGAUUUAUGCAUGGAUUGGUUGCAAUUCUGCUAAAUUUUGACAUCUAUAUGCCGCUGCACCUACACAACCUGUAAGUUCGUAAUCUAAUAUUUUUUGGAAAUGCUCUGUUCUGUUUGCUUUGUCCUUUUUCUCCUUCUCAACUUUGUAGACAGAAUCUUGUUUCAAUUCAGAGAAGCAAUAAUAUGAUAUUGAAGAAUUCAAAAAUAAACAGCG